rnacentral:rRNA from 1 species
CAUGGAGGGUGAGAAUCCCGUCCGGCCAACUUUUUGACGCUUUACGAUACACUUUCAAAGAGUCGAGUUGUUUGGGAUUGCAGCUCAAAAUGGGAGGUAAAUUUCUCCUAAGGCUAAAUAUUGGCGAGAGACCGAUAGCGAACAAGUACCGUGAGGGAAAGAUGAAAAGAACUUUGAAAAGAGAGUAAAAUAGUACGUGAAAUUGUUGAAAGGGAAACGAUUGAAGUCAGUCGUACCGACGAUAAAUCAGCUCCUCGAGUGCGGACUUGUGGGCGUGCGUGAGCUUUAAAACCUCGCUGUUUGCAACGUUUGUACUUUUUGGGUGUACUUUUUCGUAUGGUAGGCCAACGUCAGUUUCGAUUACCAUAAAAUGACCGGAGGAAUGUAGCUUCGAUCUCGUAUUGAAGUGUUAUAGCCACUGGUAGAUGUGGUGACUGAAACUGAGGAUUGCAACGAAUACCCUUUGGGCUAUCCGUCUGAUCUCUGAAAGUCGCUCGGGUGUCGAAAGCGUGCUUAUGGCUAUUCGAGUUGGCGGUCAAUAGGUUAGAACGUGAUUAUAUUCGUUAAGGAUGUUGACGUAAUGG